AUGCAACAUCUUCUAGUUGGAUGCUCCCUCUCCCGCCAAAUAUGGCAUGAGGUGCUCUCGUGGUGCCGAUCCACUGCACCCGUCCCCAACCCUGACGAGGAGUUCAUCGGGUGGCUAUCUUCAGCUCUAUUUGCUACUACGAGUUGUCUGCGGCGUGGCCUCGCCUCUCUCGCCAUUCUUACCGCCUGGCACAUUUGGCGGCACCGCAACGACUGCCUAUUCGAUGGCGGCUCUCCGGAUGUCGGUCGCGCUGUGGACAUGAUACGCGACGAGGCAUGGCUGUGGGCUCGUGCUGGCGCUGCAGGGCUGGCCCUGCUCCCACCCGAGACGUAG
rnacentral:rRNA from 1 species